UCCUCUGUAGUUCAGUCGGUAGAACGGCGGACUGUUAAUCCGUAUGUCGACUGGUUCGAGUCCAGUCAGAGGAGCCA
rnacentral:tRNA from 1 species